UACGGGGGGGGCAAGCGUUGUUCGGAAUUACUGGGCGUAAAGGGCUUGUAGGUGGCCAACUAAGUCAGACGUGAAAUCCCUCGGCUUAACCGGGGAACUGCGUCUGAUACUGGAUGGCUGGAGUGUGGGAGAGGGAUGCGGAAUUCCAGGUGUAGCGGUGAAAUGCGUAGAUAUCCGUAGGAACUCCGGUGGCGAAGGCGGCGUGCUGGACCCCUUCUGACGCUGAGGCGCGAAAGCCAGGGGAGCGAACGGG
rnacentral:rRNA from 1 species